CUUGUCUCUGUGUAGUUUUAAGUUGAACUUAAUUUUCUUGAAGGAUUUGUGGGUCAUUCCCCACUAUAAACCGGGAUCAGUUUGUUAAGCAAGGGGCAUUCAAAAACUGAGUCAUUCAAUUGAGAAACCUUGAGCAUUCUAACUCUUGUACUUAGUGUUUGGAAGCUUUCACGCGACAAAACUGCAAAAACAGGAAGAAAAAGCAAGAUUUAUGCUGUCAUGAUGGAUCCAUUACCAGCAUGACGGUCGUCACCAUCCCUAGGAAGUCAAUUCAUCACAAAAAGUCAACAAAAUGAAGAAGAAUUGUUUGAGCUAGAUGAUGGACGACCAAUCAUGAAGAAAACGACUGUCACUUGUAUGAUGGACGGAACGUCAUGGUAAUGGACCCGAAGUGUAAACUAUAAAUAGGCCCUUAGAACUCCAUUUUCAAAAUCCGAGCUUUGUAUUAGUUAUAAAAUAUUGUGUAAAAGUGAUAAUUGCUCACAUUGAGUCAUUAUUGCAAUUUUAGUUUUAAGGUUGGGGCAAAUCUUCCUAUCAUUGUGUACCUACUACUUUAAUCUUGCCGACAUAAUUUUUCUACAUUUAUUAUCCA